rnacentral:rRNA from 1 species
GAUGAACGCUGGCGGUAUGCUUAACACAUGCAAGUCGAACGGACUUCUUAGGAAGUUAGUGGCGGACGGGUGAGUAACGCGUGAGAAUCUGGCUCGAGGUUCGGGACAACCACUGGAAACGGUGGCUAAUACCGGGUAUGCCGAGAGGUGAAAGGUAAACUGCCUGGAGAUGAGCUCGCGUCUGAUUAGCUAGUUGGUGGUGUAAGGGACUACCAAGGCGACGAUCAGUAGCUGGUCUGAGAGGAUGAUAAGCCACACUGGAACUGAGACACGGUCCAGACUCCUACGGGAGGCAGCAGUGGGGAAUUUUCCGCAAUGGGCGAAAGCCUGACGGAGCAAUACCGCGUGAGGGAGGAAGGCUCUUGGGUUGUAAACCUCUUUUCUCAGGGAAUAAGGUCUGAAGGUACCUGAGGAAUCAGCAUCGGCUAACCCCGUGCCAGCCGCCGCAGUAAUAC